CUGGAGAAAAUUAAUAGUUUACUAGCACAGAACUGGAGAAGCUUUGCAGGCCAGAACUAUUUUGAUCCACAUGGCCUUUUCAUCCCAGUGCUUUGAUCCGGGCCCCUUCUUUUCAUCUCAAUUUUAUUAUUGGUAAACAGCCUUUUUACUUUAUGUGUAACAAUCGUCAAAUGGAAAAAGGCUGAGCUUAGACACUGUGCUAGGCUUUCUCGAAACAAGGAGGAUUGAUUUACUUUGUAUUGCUACCCGUUUUUCACCAACAAAAGACAACUCUUUCUGGUC